rnacentral:lncRNA from 1 species
AGGUCGAACAGCAGAAACUAUUGGAAGCAAGGUCUUACUGAUCCUGAAAACAUUGAAAACGAUCUUUGAAUCCAUUUUCUUUUACCUUCAUAGUCAAUCAGAAAACAUCUCUCUCCAUCAGGUAAGUGCUCUUACAUACUGAAGUGGAAAUCAAUUUAAUUAAUUGAUUGUUUUGCGUAUCUGCCCCUGGCCAAAUUAAUAAACAGUGCGUGCACGCUCCCUGAAGUAAUUCACACCAGACACAAGUUUCAGGUUGAUGAAAAUCUUGAGGAAUGUUUAUUCAGAGGGGACGGCAAGUCCCUUUUAAAGCAAAAUUACAUCAUAUGCAUUGUCAGAGAUAACAUGAAAUAAUGCAUCAUUAAUUGGUUAGGUGUUAAGUGGUUCUUCUAAUGCUCUGCCUACAAGGGUUGAUGUCACUGGUAUCAUGAGGGUCUCCCCCAGAUUCCAGCACCAUCUUGUUACACAAGGUAGUUAGUCAAUGUUAGAGGGGAAGCUCCCCAGCGGCCAUUUUAAGUAAAUCACAUAUAAAAUGAUAAAUGCUGAUUGAGAACUAUAUAAAGUAAAUAGACAUUUUACUAGCUAAAAAUUAUGCUAAUAUCUCAUUUCCACAACAGUCCCCCCUUAAAAUGGCUAUUUACUAGGAAGACAACUACAACUGUCCCUAACGUGUCCCUAAUUGGCUGCAGCUCAUCUGUCUUAACGAGCCUCGAACGCUUCACUCCGUGCGUAUCCCGCAGUGGCUAACCCACUACAUCUCUCCAAGACGCUAUCCCUACACUAUCCCUAAAGGAAUGCAGUUGUCUGUUUGAAUUGGUGAGUCUGGAGGGGUGUGUGUGGUGUGUCACAUUCUGUGUCAUUGACGUCUUGGUACAGGAACGUAGAAGUUACAUUGUCAAUGGUUUGUCUUACUGUCUUCUGUAAGUAUUUCUGUAUGCAAGGUAAUACACAACAAGUCAGGAAGAGGAAGAGGAUUAACAUAGUAAGGACUGCUGUUCCAACCUGGAAUAAGGUUUUCUGCCACCCAUUCAUCCAUCCAAACCAUCUAUCCCAUGUAUUGGAGACCCCAGAGUUCUUUUGUAAUUCGUCAGAGUGACUGUCCAAUUUCUCUAUUGCCAUGGUUACUUUCCCAUUGGGUCCAGUAUUAUCUGGGAUAAAGGUACAACAUGUCAUAGUAUCGGGGAGUAUUUUACAUAGGCCCCCUUUUUCUGCUAGAAUCAUAUCCAGAGCCAUCCUAUUCUGGAAUGUCAUUUGGGAGGUAGCUUGCAGCUGCUCUGCCAAGCCCUGCAGGGCAUCUUUAGUAUAAUUAACAAAACGCUGCUGAUUAUAGUAAAUAUAGUUAAUCCAAUUGACAUUCUUGUUAGUGGUGAUUAGUGAAACCAGGGAUUAAAACCCUGCUGCUACCUCAUCUCUGGCCUUAAAUUAAUUAGGUACCCCCCUUGGCACCCCAAUGGCAUCAAUAUAAACAUGGGGGUCAAAGCUCCCACGGAUGGGAAUCUCCCUUUUAGCUCUGAAAUGUGUGUGUGUGUGGCAUCAAAUGGACUGAGAUAAUAUGGAUGGGCAUUAUGGCUUUAGUCAAGGUGCAUUCCCCCCACCACAGGCCAGUUAAUUGGGAUCUUAGUUGCAUAUCUCCACAUAGCCAAUAAAUGUCCCCGACAGUUUUGGCAUGAUUUACUAAUAACGUCAUGGGUGGGUCGUGAUAGGUAGAACAAUAGCCGGAUGGAAACUUGCCCAUGAACUUACCAGUGUUUUUAUGCACUGAGUAGCAGGUGUAAUUACCUGGGUACACUGUGACUCCAUCAGGUGGUCUAACGUUUCCCUGGGUGAUGGGAUACACCUUUUUCCAUGAUUCACAUGUUGACGAGUUAGUGGUUGAUUGCACAUAAAGGCUUAGGAAACACAGUUCAACAUCAGAAGGUAAAUUAAGGGGCACUGUACCCAAAUGGGGUUUAGCCUCGCCACAUACAUAGCAGUUAGUCUUAUUGUGCGAAUUAGCAUUGUACCUCAUCCAUUCCAGCCACAGGUUAGUGUCGGAGAACCCAGUUUCUACUGCCAUUGUGUCUUCAAAGAUGGGAUUAGCAAUGGCAACCAUGUCAUGUAAAGUCUUAAUGUGAGUCUUGAGUGGAUUGACAGUCAUGUGAGUAGUACCUACCCAGUCAGAUGAUGUAAGCAUGUCUUGUAAAUAGAAGGUUCCCAACUGAUUGUGUGAACUGCCUCCCUUCCAAUACAUGCCCAUUACGUAUUCACCGGCAUCCCCUGGGCUGGGAUGUUCUAUAUUUAAAGUGAGCUUCAUCGGGGUUGACCCUACAGGUUUACACAGGGUCAUUCUAUACAACAGGGGCUUCCCAUUUCUGUCAAUCCUGUCUAAAGCACAUUAGGGCUUAUAGCCCCAAGGUCCACCAGUAUUCCAACCAGCUGCUUUCCAAGAACUACAGUGAUGUCCCCAGUGCCCUCCCAUUACACAGAUGUAUGGGUCCUUCUUGUUGGGUAUGUCUUUAUAUAUUGCAGAGUGUUGUGUUUGUGGAAAAGUACAUGGAACAAUGUCACAAUAAUCAAAAGUAAAUGUAGCCACGUGUGUUUGAGGAAUUAUACCAGAACGUGUAAACAUGAUUGUCUUUAGUAAUAGCAACUUGUUGGGCCUUCAUCAGGCCUAGCAGCAAAAGGAAACACAGGAAGCUCAUGGUUCAGCGGGGGUGGCUUCCUCUGGAGCAGGUACUUUCUUGCAAUGUGAAGCGUGUACCCAUGAACACUUUCCGGCCAACUUUACCGAGGUAGCCUUAGUCAGUAGUACUUGGUAAGGACCAUCGAAUCUUGGCUCAAGAGUGUGUUUCCUGAGGAAUUUCUUGACCAUAACCCAGUCACCAGGAAGUAAUUUGUGAAUAUCUGUAUUCGACUCUGGAUCUGGAAUAGAAGAGAACAUUUGGGCAUGGAUUUUGGUCACGGCAUGAGAGAGAGCAGUUACAUAGUCUACCAUAGCAUCUGACUGAAUCUGAAGCUGUUGGGGGAAAUAACAGCCUAACCUAGGUGCUGUACCGAACAAAAUCUCAUAAGGGGAUAGACUGAACUUCCCCGUUGGUGUAUACCGUACGCUGAACAGUGCUAAGGGAAGACUCUCUGGCCAGGGCAUGUUAGUUUCCUGAGACAUUUUGAGCAUUCUGGCUUUCAACGUGCCAUUCAUGCGUUCUACCUUACCGCUACUCUGCGGAUGAUAAGGUGUGUGAAAGACAAGGGUCGCCCCCAGUGCUGCCCAGACUUCCCUUGUUAACAGAGCGGUGAAGGAGGUUCCUUGGUCACUUUCAAUCACUUCUGGAACCCCAUACCGGCAAAAGAUUUCUGUAAGGAGAUGCUUUGCUGUGGUUUUUGCUGUAAGGUUAGCAACUGGAAAGGCUUCAGGCCAUCCUGAAAACAUGUCCACUAUGACCAGUGCAUACUCAUAUCGUCCACUAUUUGGCAUCUGAAUAUGGUCAAUCUGAAUUCUCUGGAAGGGAUAAUGUGGUUUGGCCAGGUGAUUAGGAGCAGCUUUGAUAAUCUUCCCGGGGUUACAUUUGGCGCAAAUAGUACAGGAUCUGCAAUAGUUCUGUGUCAGAGUGGUAAUACCAGGUGCCUCAAAGUAUUUAUCAGUUAGGGAGUUCAUCAGAUGUUUGGACAAAUGGGCUGGUACGUGGGCCCACUGGACAACAGCUGGGUACAUAUUUCUGGGUAAGCAAAACUUGAGGUUGAUGGUAUAAACAUAAUUUCGAAGGAUUGCUCCUUUGUCUUUCCAGCUCUGUUUUUCUUGAGGGGUUGCUGCAGCUUGUUGUUCUCUCAAGAGUUUGAGAUCUGUGGGUAGAGUUUGCAUAGUAUAGAUGGGGGUCCUCUCGGCGGCCACUCUUCUGUCCACUUUCCAUCCUUGCCGUGCUGCUUCCUUAGCAGCCUGGUCAGCCAGGUUAUUGCCCUGGGCUUCUUCUGAGUUCAACCUACUGUGGGCUUUUACCUUCAGUACAGCCACCUCUUCAGGUAGUAGCAGGGCAUCCAUCAGUUCUUCAAUAGCUGCCCCAUGUUUCACCGGAGUACCGGUGGCUGUGAGGAAACCCCUUGUUUUUCAAAUCAGACCAAAGUCACGUGCCACCCCUAGGGCAUAUCUUGAAUCUGUAUAAAUAUUGACUCGUGUACCUUCAGACAACUUACAGGCCAUGGUAAGGGCUGUUAGUUCGGCCUCUUGAGCUUAUUUUGACGGUGGGAGUGCGGCAGCCUGCAGUACUUGAUUUUCUGAAGUGACUGCAUAUCCAGUGUGGUAUUGCCCUUGUUCGUCAGCAAAUCUGGAGCCAUCCACAAACAAUGUACAGUCUGGAUUAGGCAGGGCAGUGUCAUGCACGGUUGGUAAGUGGGUGGUUUCCAUCUUCAUCUGUUCAAAACAGUCAUGGGCGGCUUCUGGAUCUUGUCCUAUGGGAGGGAGAUCCUUGCAUAUCUCUGUAUCGAGGGUAACCAACUGCAUUGCAGUUAACGGUCUUUUUAGUAAUUCCCGCCUGUGCGAGUUGUUCUUGGGUUGCGGUGCUCCAGGAUUUGGCCAUAGGGCCCAGAUCUCCCCACGAGAGGUCAGGAGACUUGGUGAAUGAAACAUGUGGGACAGCCACUUCCCAGUGGUGGUAGAGAUGUAAUACUUCCAUUGAAAGGUAAACCAACAAGACCAUGUUACCCUUGGAAUCACAUAAUAAAUCUGUUAGUGUGAUGCGUAUUUCCAUUAAGUGGAACAACUCUUCUUCAUAGUAUGAGUCAGGGCCUGGAGUGUCUUUGAACCAUAAAGUGCAAUGCAGCAAGUUCUCCGGUUGCACAUCAUGUGGAGCUGUGGGAGUAGGUAAUUGAAACUCCAUCCGGACUUCAGGAUUAAUGUCUAAGCUGUACCAGUAGUGGGCUACUCCCCCCUUGGGAAGUGGCAGAAGAGUGGCCGGAUUUAGGGUAUAACAUCUCUGAAGAGUCAAAUUGUCGGGCAACAGUAAAGACGUCUGUAGACGAAGAUGGCGUUGUGAGGAAAGGUGUUUUGGUUGGACUUGUUGUAAAAUAGCGGAAAUGUCAUGUGGAGCGAGGACAGUUAGAGAAUGUCCGAGGACGAAGUCAUUGGUCUUAUCCAAUAAUGCACUAGCAGCAAACACCGCCCGCAGGCAGGAAGGACUACCCCUGGCAACGGGGUCAAGCAUGCAGGAAAAAGAGCCAAUUGGUCUCUGUCGUGAGCCAUGUAAUUGAGUAAGGACCCCUGAAGCAUGGCCCAUCUUUUCGGAAACAAACAGUUUGAAGGGCAACUGGUAGUUGGGUAGACCCAGAGUGCAGGGGAAAUUGCCUUUUGCAGGGCUGCAAAUCAAGCUAGUGCUUGAGGUGAUAGUGAGAAUGGUUCGCUCUUUAAAGCAUCAUAAAGUGGUUGCAUAAGCUGGGAAGCUUCAGGAAUCCACGAUCGGCAAAAAGUAAUGAGGCCUAAAAAGGCAUGUAGGGUUUGAUGAGUAGAUGGAGGUGGCAAAUUCAAAAUAGCAAGAAUUCUGUUUCUGGUGAGAUGACGGGUGCCAUGGGAGAGGCAAUGUCCCAAGAAGACCACAGAGGGCCGGCACCACUGUAAUUUGGAUUUCGAGACUUUACAACCUUCUUCAGCUAGAAAAUAUAGAAGAUCUUCGGAAUCACGCUCAGCAGUUGGGAGGUCAGCAGCGCAGAGUAGUAGGUCAUCAACAUACUGGAGCAAGACUACGUCUGUGUGAGUCUUUUGCCAGGGUUCCAAAACAGUAGACAUGGCUUUUGCAAACUGAGUAGGAGAGUUCUGCGCCCCCUGUGGCAUGACAGUCCAUGUGUACUGUUGGCAGUCAUGAGUAAAGGCAAAGAGAUGUUGGCAGGACGGAUCCAGAGGCACACUGAAAAAGGCGUUGGCACGAUCGACCACCGUGAAGAACUUGGCAGUGGAUGGGACUUGCGACAACAAGGUGUGUGGAUUGGGGACAACAGCGGUGUCUCUGACAGUGACAUCAUUAACGGCACGCAGAUCCUGGACCAUGCGGUACUGAUCUGGUUGGCCCUUUUCGGUUUUCUUCUUAACAGGGAACAAGGGAGUGUUGCAUUGCGACACACAUUUGAUAAGAGCUCCCUUUGCUAGGAGGCUGUCAACUUGCUUGGAGACGGCAAGAGCCUUUGCAGGUUUCAAUGGGUACUAAGGUCUUCAUGGUGGGGCAGCUCCUGGCAAAAGGGUAACCACAACUGGCGGAACACGUAAGCGGCCUAUGUCAUCUGGGCCCGUGGACCAGAGUUUGGCAGGGAUUCUGUCCAGAGCACUGGGAGCAUCCGUGACCCUUGUUUCUCCUAUGUGAGACGUAAGAUGUAGUAGCAGGGGCAGAGAACAAAGGACAGAAGUGUCCUUGCGUGAUAGGGGUGUGAGUAGUUGGACCUGACCAUCUGCAGGGAAAGUAAUGGAGGCCUGAAGGCGGGACAAAACAUCAGCACCCAAAAGGUUAAUGGGACAGGUGGAAGAAACAACAAACCGUGAAAGGAUACCAGAACCCACACGCAGGAGCUUAGUUAGUGGAUUGCUGCGGGGAGUACCAUCAACACCUACACAAGAUACAUCGGUGUCUGACAGGUAGGAUGGGUCUGGCAGGUCUUGUUCUCUAAGAACACUGCGGGUUGCACCUGUGUCAACUAAAAAGGUAGUAGGAUGUCCCUCAAUGGGCAGGACAACUGUAGCGAGAGCCCCCCCCCAUCCCCUGAAGACACUACCAUAACAGGGGUAUCAGACACAAGCUUGCCGGUUACCUAUUGCAAUAAAUCUAAAUGAGCUUGGUCAGGACCAGUGUAGUAGCGUGCAGGGGUAGUAGGGAGACUUGUCGGGGGGCAGGGCGAGCAGGACGGCUCUGUCUAGGUAUGGGGUGUUCUUCCUGGCAUCAUACCUGUCAGCAGGAGCUGGAGGAUAAGUACGGGCAUCAGAAGGAGGUGGGGGGGCUUGGGAAUACUCAGGAGGUGGGAAGUACGGAGCCAGGGGAGGUGGUGGUGGUUGAAAGUACCUUGGAGGGAGAUAUCCAUAGGCAGCAGCAGCAGAAGGAUUAGAAUAUCUGGGGAGCAGUGGCCUAUUAAACCUAGGAUGAGGGCACUCUCUUCGGAAGUGGCCAGUCUGAUGGCAAUUAUAACAGGUUCUGGCCACAGGGGUCCGAUCCUGAGUGGGGAUCAUGGACCGUUGCAUGGGAUACACAUGGGGCGCAUGGGUUGGCCCAGUGGCAGGAGCUGGGGCAUUAAGCAUCAGAGGGUUAGGUCUUCUCUGUACAGGCUGAAACGCAGACUCUAAACCCUUAGCUACCAACAACAUGGUAUCUAGAAAGAUUAUUCUAUAUUCAGGGUGAGAGAGGAUUAAACCCUUACGAAUGUUCUCCAUCAGGCCAGUCACGAAGGCGGCUGACAACAUCUGAGUAUGCACUUUAUUAUAUGUACUAAACCCAAGAUCAGAAAAGAUUUGGGUUAGUCGUGAGUGAUAUUUCUCUACAGACUAAAGUUUGUCCUGAACGAUGUCAUUUAUACAAGUGGCUUGGUCAGCUAAUUUGUCUUGGGCCCAGGCACGAAGUUGAUCACAAAAGGUAAUACCUGACUGGAAAUCCGUGUCAGUGGUAAGAGGAGCAUCAGUAAAACUCCUCGCCAUUAUUGGCCGGUAGGCAUCACCGGCUUUGAUUUCACACAAACUGUAAAGAUCCCGCCAAGCUGCGGAGUAUGUCUUACGGAUUUGAGCCAUUCUGCGGAAGAAGGGCAUGGGCUGUUUCUCUGGGUCAGGGAGAGAAGUGACCAAGGUGGCAGCUUGUGAGGGAUUGAACGUGACAUACAUAGGUGGAGCACCUUUGGUAACGGGGGAUACCUGGAGGUGCACUCCAGAGGUAGCCUGUCUCUGUGAGGGUCUGUUAUCUUGUGGGCGGAACAGGCUAUGCGCUUGUACAUUGUCAUCCCCGGGAGGGACAGGGAUCGGAAGGCCAUGAUAGGAGGCAACAUCAAGGGAAGCUGGAGCCUGUGCGGCCAAAGUGACAGGGGCAGGGAGGCCAGUGACAAUGUUUUGGGGAGUGCCCAACUGUGACGUAGUAGGAUGGAAGCCUGAGGUUGCCGGAGAAACACCCAUAGCAUAGGGUUGUCCCGAAGUGGCGAACUCAUCGGAGCCGACCACCAUGAGCGGGUAACUGGGAUCUGCAUCGGGGGAAUACGGGACAAGGGCCAUAGAGGAGGCAGGGGUAGGGGCAGGUUGGGUUGGACGUGACAGGUGAGCGGACAGGGCAAGGGCGAGGGCAGACAACGGGUCAGAGGCAGUAGGGACAGGUACGGAAGGAGUGAGGGAAGGUGUAGUAGGAGGGACAGAGGGUUGGGGUAGAGGGUUGGGACUUGGGGGCGGAAAGGGUAGAGAGUAGUGACCACAGAUCGGUCGGAGGAGUAGUGGGAAGAAUGGCGGUAGGUGUAGUGGGAGGGAUAGGAGUAGUGGGACGAGCCAGAGCUGAGAGGGCAGAGAGGAGAGAUGACAGGUAAGUAGGAGGAGGAUUAGUAGGAGUGGGUGGAGGGUCAGAAGAUGUAGUGGGAGGAUUGGGAUGAUCUAAGCCUGAGAGGGCAGAGAGGAAAGAUGACAGGUCAGUGAGAGGAGGAUUAGUAGGAGUGGGUGGAGUGUCAGGAGAUGUAGUAGGAGGAACAUAAGUAGUGGGAUGAGCUAAGGUUGAGAGGGCAGAGAGGAAAGAUGACAUGUCAGUGGGAGGAGGAUUAGUAGGAGUGGGUGGAUGGUCAGAAGAUGUAGUGGGAGGAACAGGAGUAGUGGGCUGAGCUAAGGCUGAGAGGGCGGAGAGGAGAGAUUGCUGGUCAGUGCGAAGAGGAUUAGUAGAAUUGGGAAGAGGGUCGGGGACGGAAGGGACAUUGGGGAGUGUAGGAGGCAGAGUAGGGUGAUAGGGAUGGCCGAGAGUGGUGGAAAUGGCAGAAAGGAGAGAUGACAACAGACCAGUAGGAGUAUCAGGAGGUGAACAGGCCGGGGUAGCAGGAGUAGCAGAGAGAGAUGGCGAAAUAGAAGUGGUAGGAGAUGGGACAGGAGUUAAUGGAAUGGAAUCAGGAACGGGGGAAGGAGGGACUGAUGGGAGAACAAUAGGAAUAGGUGGGGACAGUGGGAGGGGUGGGGGACAAGGAGGUGGAGGAGGCAAAGGGGCAUCGCAGAGGGCUGGGAGGAGAGGUGAUGAUGGGACCUGGUCGGGGGCAAUAGGGAGCUGGAAGGGCGGCUGGGGUAUCUGAGUGUGAGGAAAGGAAUGUAACGGUACAGGGUAAUAAUAGGCUCCGUCAGCUCCGAGCACGGGACACAAUGGGGUGGGGACCUGACCUACACCACAAAAAGGUGGUGUCUGGGCGUUAACGGGGGAGACAGGGCGGGAGUCAUUUAUCAUGCUCUGGGUGCCAUCGUAGGGCGGUGGCCGGGAAAUGCUGGGAGGUACAUCAUCAUUGCAAACAUUUCGGUGAUACACAUAAAUCGUCUACCCCUCGAAGUCUAACUCUUCCUCUGUCCAGCCCUCCCGUUUGAGUCCUCUAGCGACCCGAUACCAAGCCUCUACAGCUUUUGUCAACCCAUUAUCCAGCAACAAACCCUCCUUAUCAACAAGCAGUUUCCUCCAAAAUUCUGUCUGUAACCUACCGCUAGGCGACAUUUGGAAACCACAAAUCUUGGCUAUCUUCUUUAUUUUCAACAUAGCUUCUUCUCCUGCCCUCUCCUUUACAAUAUCACAAGCCAAAGAUCCCUUAGCAGGUCUAGUGUGUUCCAGCCCCAUCUUUACCAAACAAAGGGUGCCACGUGACAGAGACAGAGGGAGGGAGAAGAAGAAAGAGGAAAGUCUACAGUGCUCGACAGCCACGAGGAUCUGGGUCCCGUGCGUCUUCCCUAAAUGUAGACCAGUCACAGGGGUCCGCCCACCCGAGAUGGUGGCUAUGGACCGGAGUGAGCGAGCGUGGGUGACUAACACAGCUCUGGGCAACAGACACAGGAGAGAUAGAGAACAUAGGAGAAGAUAAACAUGGCAAUGCUAAGCGAAAGGCAUUUGCAAAAAUCACACACCUAGAGAUGAGUGUAAACUCCAGAAUCAAGGACCACACAACACACCAGGGGAGGGCUGGCAGCCUGAGGCCUGGGGGGCAAAACCAGUCAAGUGGCCCAUUGCACCACCAAAUCAGUUCACCAUCCAUGCCCACCUGGUUUUAUAACGGAUAUUGAUGUUAUGCUAAUCAGUAGCUCUUUGCCAUACCCGCUCCUUCACGGCUCUGACUUUCAAUCUUGUCAGAGCGCAGUCUGAGAAUCUCUGAGCUUGUGCUCUGACUCACUAACUGAGCGCCAGAACCAUGAGGGAGAGGAUAUGAUCUGACUGCACCUACUGCUGGUGCGCACCAGUGGACCACCAGCGAAUCAUUUAAAUUGAAUAUGCUGGUGUACCCAACUUGUGAGCUGUGUUGGCUGCCGGGCGCCUCUGUUGUCAUGGCACCCUGCGUGACCGCACAGCUUGCACACCCCAACGGCUGGCCCUGCUGACACAUACUGAUGUUACUACUUAGAAAUCCCUCAAUAUUAAUACAGACAUCAGAGUAAACACCAAUAAACUGUGCAAACAGAGCUGAUCCCCCAAAGAUUUGCUUAAUGGAUUUGUUGUAAGAUUAAAUCAUGCCUCCUCUCCCUCUCCCAUGCGCUGCGCUGUAGGCUGGGAGGAAGUGAAGAGUAAUCACAUUCUCCCAGCACAGCACCACCUGUGGCUGCAUGGGGAACAGCUGUUUAAUGUAAUGCUUGCAGGACGUCCAGCUGCCGCAGAACCUCUUUGUUCCCGUCUCUGCAAAUGGCUCCAGGCACUGCUUGCUGUGAGUGUGAGCCACUGUAAAUUAGGGGCAGAGGGCACUUGCACUGCGGUAAAGACAGGUCUGGGCAGGAGGAGAGUGCAGUGCAAUCCCCUCCUGUGGGUCACCAGUAGACUGGUGCACCUGCCCAGGAUCAGAGCCGGUGCAAGGAUUUUUGCUGCCCUAGGCAAAGGAAAAAUUAUCUGCCCCCCCCAUGUGACAUCACAAUGCCCCACCUAUAUAAUCUGCCAUAUAAACUAAUGCCAAAGCUGCACACAGUGUGUGUUUACAUUAAAAAGCCUGCAGGGACCGGCUAUAGACACCAGAACCACUUCAUUAAGCUAUAGUGUCCCUUUAAUGUGAGGUAAAUUAUAGAUUAGUGUCACUAAUAAUAUACUAGAUUGCCUACUUACAACCAGAUGAGGAUGAUGAUGGGCUGCGGUUUGGCUCCACUGGUCUGGUGUAGAAGAGGAUCUCUGAAGGCUGUUUGUAACUGUGGUCACAAAAUUCAUUCUAGUAGAAUGGGAAGCAGCUCCAUUUUUUUGGGGCCCCUUAAACAGCUCAAGGUCUGGGUCCCAGGGCCUGACGGUGAGUAUGUCCAUAGGCCCACCUAAAAGUCCACCUACAUGUUCCACCCAUGAGUUCGCUCACAGGGAGUGGAGUGUGUAGGGGAUGUGUUAUUGUAGAGGAUCUAUCGUGUGUGCUUAUGGUAUGUAGUGUAUAGGGAUACCAGUUUGUGUAGGUGAUGCAGUGUAUUUGUAGCGGAGGCAGUGUGUGUUUGUGUAUAAGCGAUGUAUUGUGUGAAUCUGUGUUUGUAUGCAUAAGGGAUGCAAGGUGUGUGUCUGUAGUGUGUGCAUUGAGUGUGUGAAUGAAAUGCAUUGUGUUUCUGUGUAUAUGUAAGANNNNNNNNNNNNNNNNNNNNNNNNNNNNNNNNNNNNNNNNNNNNNNNNNNNNNNNNNNNNNNNNNNNNNNNNNNNNNNNNNNNNNNNNNNNNNNNNNNNNAAAGGGAAUCAUGACAUGCCACACGUCAUGUGUCCUUAAGGGGUUAAAAGGACACUAUAGUCACCAAAACAACUUUAGAUUAAAGUAGCAGUUUUGGUGUAUAGAUAAUUCCUCUGAAGUCUCACUGCUCAAUUCUCUGCCAUUUUGCAGUUAAAUCUCUUAUGUUUCUGUUUAUGCAGCCCUAGCCACUCCAUCCUUGGCUGUGACUCACACAGCCAACAUGAACAAAUGUUUCAUUUUCAAUCUGAUCUUACAGCACAUUGUGUUUACUCUUAUCUCUCUUUCUGUUAAUUGAACUUUAAUCACACGCAGGAGGCUACUGCAGGUAAUUAACAGAGCAGGAAAUAAGAAACUCUAAAUUGAACACACUGCAAUAAAGGAUGUAUACAAAUUAGAUCUAUCUUUGCAGAAAGUGUUUAGGGAGGCUGUGUAAGUCCCAGCCAGGGUAAGCUUGGCUAGGGUUGCAUAAACAAAGUGAUUACACUUCUAGUUGGCAAGGAAUUGAGCAGUAAGACUGCAGGGGCAUAAUUUAUACUUAAAAAUGGCUUUGUUAAGCUAAAGUUGUUUUGGUGCCUAGAUUGUCUCUUUAAUACAAUUGGUAUUAGGAAAAAUGCUUUCUUUUGAACUUAAUGUAUUUUCUGCAAAUCUCAAUGCAGAUGCUGCAGUUUGCUCUAUCCAGACCACAAAGCAAUUGAACAUCUUACAGCUACUUCCAUCAUGGCCAGGGCCAGCGCGUUAGGGCGCACCUGCUCUGUGGACACAGCGCUCUCUCCUACCAGUCACUCAAUGUAGCAUGGCAUACACACUCCCUGAGAGAGUAUUUGCUGUCAGGCCAGGUACAGGAAACAGAAUCAACUGUACUGCGGUCCAUUCUGCUCAGCCACUCUACAAAGAGAGGUAGGGAGGCACACCAGGGAAAGGAGGGGAGAGGACAAUUAAAGGGACUUUCCAGUGCCAGGAAAACAAACCAUUUUCCUGGCACUGCAGGUCCCCUCUCCCUCCCACCCCCAUCCCAUGUUGCUGAAUGGGUUAAAACCCCUUCAGUGACUUACCUGUAUUCAGCGCCGAUGUCCCUCGGCGCUGGGUCAGGGUUCGCCCACGCUCCUAUUGAGCAUGCACGGCCGGCGGCGGGGGAGCCCUAAUGAACGCGCAUUAUACCACCCCAUAGGAAAGCAUUGGAAAAUGCUUUCAAUGCUUUCCUAUGGGGAUUUCAGCUAUGCUGGAGGUCCUCACAUAGCGCGACGUUAUAACACACUUUUCGUGUUCUAUGAACACGGAAGUAUCCUCUAGUGGCUGUCUAGUAGACAGCCACUAGAGGAGGACUUAACCCUUCAAGGUAAAUAUUGCAGUUUAUGAAAACUGCAAUAGUUACACUUGCAGGGUUAACGGUAGUGGUCUGGGUGCCUGGAGUGUCCCUUUAACGGGAGGAACACAAAGGAACAUGGAUGGAAGAGGACGACUAAGGGACAGGAACACUAAGGUACAUCACUUGGGGGGGCGGGGGAGAAGACCUCUAAGGGACAAGGAGACCACUAUAGGACAGGGAGGUGGGAGGAGACCACUAAGGGAGAGGGACAGGGAAGGAGACCACUAAGGGACAGGGGUGUGCGAGGAGACCACUAAGGCACAGGGAAGGAGACCGUGGGGGUGGAGGGGAAGAUACACAGAGGGGUGACAUGCAGCGGGGCUGGAUGUGAAAGAGUCACAUAGAGAAGAUGAAGAAGGGGAAAAGAGACACACAGAUGGCCCUGGGGAGACAGAUGAGCUGGGGGUGAAAUAUAAUUUCACAAAGAAGCUAGGAAGAGUAAAAGACACAAAGGAGCUGGAAGAGGUGGAGAAACACAAAGGGUCUGGGGGGAGUAGGACACAAAAAGGGGGUUGUAAGAGAUACACAGGGGAAAAUUAAGGGAUAAGAUACACUAAAGGGGUAAAACCUUUACAAGAAGGGAUAAGAAACACAAAAUGGGGAUAAGAGGCACACCGGGGGAUAAUUUUUUUAUUUAUUUUUUUUUGGGGGGGGGGGAAUGCAUCUUUACCUGUGUACCUAAAAGUCCUUCACCGGCCCUGAUCGUAACCACUUUUUUCAAUAAGAGAGUUUAGGGUAUAUCAUAGGGCCCUGUCUAGCAUUGUAAUAUGGGACUUGUAGUUCAGCAAUUGCAGCAAUUUUAACUAUGCAAAACCAAAAAUGUAAAAAAUGCAGCUUAGUUUGGCAUAUAUAGCUACUAAUAGUGAUAUCCAUUAUUUUUUAUGAAUGGAGCUGCAAAUGCAAACCACAUUGGACAUGACUAUAGUUUAUUUUAUAGAUCACUGGAAUGAGGAUCAUUUAUGUCGGGCCACUGUCUAGUGACUGCAUUCCAUUAAUGAGUACAUAGUGCCAAAGGAAAUUCUGUCUAUGACGUAUUUCUGUACAGAGAGGCGUGGACGGUCUAGCACUGCAGAUGUUGUUAUUGUAUCUGUGGAGUCCCUUUAAUCCAAUAAUUACUAAGAUUAGAUUUUCUGUAUCUUUUUGUUACUUUGUUUAUUUGUUUUUGGAAACUUGAAGCAUCUCCGUUGGGAAGUCUCUCUCCUUAGUAAUAUUUAACAAAAAAAAAUGAUUGAAAAUAAGACUGUCAUUAUGCAUACUCAAGAAUUACGGAAGGGGCUAAAAUAUCCUUUUGGGACUGAAAUGGUUUUCUUAUUUUUAAGAAAUGUCACACAUUAUUAAAUCUCAUCUUUGGGAAAAGGCUAUCCAGUUCUAUACACUUUUUCUCUUUGUUUGCUUUCUUUCUUAAAUGGCAAUUUAAAACCACAAUAUGGUGUCUGGACAAAAAUAGAUAGUACUUAGAUUUUAGAUAUGGAUAUUGCCCUAAUAUCCAUUAUUAGGAUUGAUGAUCUCAGCCAUGGAGGUGUAGCCAGGUGGGGCAAUCCACGGCGAGACCAGUGCAGCAUGUGAGUAAAAUCACUUUUUUACUGUGAUCAGAAGGGUUCAGUCACCUAAACAACCACUUCAGGACUAUAGUGUCAGGAAUACAUGUUGGUAUUUCUAACACUAUAGUGUUAGUAAUAUCAACAUGUAUUCCUGACACUAUAGUCCUGAAGUGGCUGUUUAGGUGUUCCUUUAAGAUGUGCCUCCCCCCCAAUUUAAAUAUAAAAUAUUAAAUGUUUUACUCACCUUUUUUCCAGCAUCGAGAUCUACUACCUGCGUUUUCCACCCUCGACAUCACACUUACUGCUCUUUUUCGUCCAAUCCAAUGCUCCCUAUAUUGGAGCAUUAAGGUUAAAAUGUGCGUGCACUUUCUAUUUAAAUGGAGGAUAGAUGUGAGAACAGAGUUUUCAUAGUGGAAGAGCCUCUAGUGGCUGUCUUCCUGAAUUACUACUGUAUAUUAGUUAAGUUAACACUGCAUUCACUGCAAGUUAUUCCCAUGACUGCAAAUGUAAAUGUAUUAUAAAUUAAAAAUACUUAUAGUACUAAUAAAUUAGAGGACAGUGAUUACUAACAUGCAUGCCAAUGGCUUUCUAUGCUUGUAUGGACAACAUUAAUCAAUUAUGGAAAUUAUCUGCACUUCUCUUCACUCUGCUAUGCUUCUCCUAUCGGAUUUCUGCUAUGCUUCUCCUAUUUAUUUAUUUUUUUUUAUCAAUUUCUUUUUAUUAGAAUGAAGAAGUUUUAAGAAUACACAAUGUAAUAAAAAGGCACAGUAAAGUUCCAUACAAAACAGUGGUAUUAGAAUGCAGUGCACAACAUCUCUAGACAAUUAUUGGCCUCAUUUUUUGUUGUUGUUGUUGUUGUGUAGAAAGCACCAUUGCAGGAAUAUAGGGAGAUGAGAGACCUAAUUUAGGAGCAUGAGAUUAUCACAGAAUUUGGCUGUAGGGCUCUCGCCCAUUAUAACAUAAGAGAUUAUGCAAACAGUUUUACACACACUUUUCCACAAACAUGUAACGUCUCAGCCUAUCCCCGUUCGUGCGGACUGCACAUAAGAGUGGUAGGGUUCCUGUCGUAGUAGUGUGUGUCACUGGGUGUAUAAGUAGAAAAGAGUAACAAGAGGGGAAGGAAAGAGGGAGAGGGGAGAAGAGGGAGGGCAUGAUUUUCUAGAAUUGCACCAAGCAUACAUCAUUAGGGCACGGUAAAAUAGAGUAGUGUGUCCCCUUGAAACGUACUGCAAUCUGCCUAACAUAUAGCGAGCUCAGUGUCACUUAGCUACAUGAGCUCGGAGGGUGACCUCCGUCGUCGUUCGGGUGUGUGUGUUGGGAUCCAACAAGUCAUCCAACCAUCCAGUGGCGAUAGUUUAGAGAUAUGGCCAAGAGAGAGGGGGAAUGAAGAGGUAGCAGAGGUGUACCCGUUCUACUGAAGACGCGGGUGGGGGGUUAUGAUGUUGGGAAGUGCACAUUGGCCUUGCCCCGGGGGACCCGGCGACACACGUCACCGCCUUAGCUCCGCGUGUUUUGUGAUAUGAAGGUAAACCAUGGAAACCACCGUUCGGCAUGUUUAUCCCCUCUGUCCUGUAGGGAUGCCUGUAGUGCUUCAGCCCCUUGGAUAUCCUCAACCCUGCGAAUCCAAUCUUCUUCGUUGGGUAUCUCCGUCCGUUUCCAGUAUAACGGGAUGAGUGACUUGGCCACAUUCAAAAGAUGUCUGAGGAUUGAUUUCUUAUAGGAGGAUAACGGCAUCUGUGAUAUAUGUAGGAGGGCCAGAGCGGCCGACCAUUCCGUCAUAUCGCCCAGUAUAUCUGUUAUUCGUUGUCUGAUCAGAUCCCAGAAUGGGUUUAUUUUGCUGCACUCCCACCAUAUAUGCAUCACCGUCCCUCUACCCCUCUGGCAUCUCCAGCAUGUAGGAGCAACAGUUGGGAAGAUCCUGUGUAGGAGAAGCGGGGUCCUGUACCAUGAGGUAAUCAGUUUGUAGUUCGUUUCUUGAUAUUGAAAGCUGACUGAGCUCUUGUGUUGCCACAGAAGUGCCUUAUCCCAUUGUUGUGGUGUGAAGGUCGUGUCCAUCCGCUCCUCCCAUUGCCUGCGGAACAUUGCAUUCGCCGUCAGAUGCCCCGUCAGUAUGUGUUGAUAAAGUAUAGAGAUAGCAUUAUCCAGUACGAUCUUCCUCUCACAGCAGUCCUCAAACCAUGUGCGUUCCCUGUACAAUCGUUCCUUGUCCCGCAAAUUAUUGUGGUAGUGCUUCACCUGUAGGUAAUGGAGUAUUGCCAAUGGCAUCGGAGGUCGUCCCUCUAAUAGAGCGUCUACGGAGCGCAGUAAUCCAUUCUGUAGGGUUGUGUGGAUUGGUAUGUAGUCACGUCCUUCCAGAAAAGGCCACAUCGCUGGUGGAAAUCCACCCCCUAUCUCUUUGUUAUGAGUGAUGGAAAGCAUUGGACUAGGUGUAGGUGAGAUAUGGGUUACCUCUCUCAUGGAGUUCCAUGUGUAUAGCGUUUGUUCCAGCAGUCCCUCCUUAGUUAUUCGUAAUGCUUUUCUAGUUCCCCCUCCCCAGAUGGCUGGUUGCACAGGGGUGUCGGGGUUGUCCCGUGUCAUUGUCACCCAUUGCGUUUGUUGAGGUUCUGCGUGCCACUCAAUUAUACGCUGCAGGACCGUGGCUUGGUGAUAUUUCCUGAAGUCGGGCAACGCUAGUCCACCACGAUGCCUGGGGAGACAGAGUAAGUCAUAUCGUAAUCUCGCCCUCUCCCCUCGCCAUACGUACCGUAUGACCGCAGAUUUUAAUGCGGAGAAGAAGGUGGUUGGUAGGGCCAGUGGGAUCGUUUGGAACGGAUAAAGCAGCCGCGGUAGGAUAGAUCAUUAGGGUGUGGGGUUAUCCAGAUUCCAAGAUAUUUCAUUUUUUGAAAGCACCACCGAAAUGGGAACAGUGGUUCCAGAGCCGCGUAUUCGCCCUCGGGCAUUGACACAUUUAGCACUUCGCAUUUUGAUAAAUUGAGCUUGAAGCCCGAGAUCGAACCAAACGUCUCAAAUUCCGACAGCAGGCAGGGUAUCGCAAUUCGAGGGUUUGUUAUGUAAAAUAAGAGGUCGUCCGCAUAUGCGGCUACCUUAUGCGUUGUGCCCAGCCAUGUGAAGCCACUGAUGACGGGUUGCUGGCGUAUCCUCUGAAGCAAGGGUUCUAACGAGAUAGCAAAGAGUAACGGGGACAGGGGGCAUCCCUGCCUCGUACCAUUGGAGAUCUCGAAAUCUCUGGUGAGUGCGCCGUUGACUCGCACCGCUGCCCGCGGUUUAUCGUACAGAGCCCGAAUUAUUGUGAGGAAUCGGUGUCCCUGUCCCAUCUGGCCAAGGGUGGCGAACAUAUAUGGCCAUUUCACACGAUCAAACGCCUUCUCAGCAUCUGUAGAAAUCAGGAGAAGGGGUUGCUGCGUUUUCCUCGCCUGGUGUUGUAUCGCGAAUAGCCGAAGUGUGCUAUCUCUCGCCUCCCGACCUGGAAUGAAUCCCGUUUGAUCUUUGUGUAUGAGAGCAGGGAGGAUGGAUUGGAGCCUGGUAGCCAGUACUUUUGUAAACAGUUUGGUGUCAACGUUCAACAGUGAGAUCGGACGAUAGCUACCGCAAAGCGAUGGGUCUUUUCCGGGUUUAGGGAGAACCGUGAUAGUGGCCGCUAGGGAUUCGGCUCCGAAGCGACCUCCAUCAGCGAUUGCAUUAAGGGCCUUUGUGAGCCACGGUAGGACUAUUGAUGAAAAUGUUUUAUAAUAACCUGCGGAAAAUCCGUCCGGACCUGGUGCCUUCCCCUUCUUGGUUGCUUUAGUGCUGCCGCCAAUUCAUCCUCCAUGAUCUGGGUCUCCAGGUCGGUGGCUGUAUCGGGUGAGAUAGUUGGUUCGACUGUGUCGUGGAGGUAAUCCCAUGUGCGCACCAUUAUCGUUGCCGAAUGCGCCUGCAUGUUCUCCGCAUCCAAGUUGUACAGGGAUCGAUAGAACAGCUGGAAUUCCCCUGCAAUAUCCACCGGUAGGCUAGAGAUCUCGCCUGAGGUGAGGUGUAAUCUGCGAACCUGAGUGCCGGGGUAUCUGGCCCCUCAGUAGACGGGCAAGGAAUCACCCCCCCUUGUUAGCGUGGGUGUAAAAAAAUGCUUUAGAGCGUUGCAGGGAGUGGUGGUGGCGUUUCAUAUGGAGCUCUUUUAGUUGUCGCCUGGUUUGCAUCAAAUCCCGGUAUGUCUCCAGGAGGAGCGAUCGUUUAUGCUGGGUUUCCAGCUCCGUGAUUCGUCUAUAGAGGUUAGUCAUCUCCUUCAUCGCUGCCUCCUUCUUAUGUGUAGCUAUGCGUAUGAGCGUGCCCCGCAGGACGCUCUUGUGGGCUUCCCAGAUCGUUAUUGGAGAUACGUCCGGUGACCCGUUAUCUUGGAAAUAGUGGGUCAGGGCUUGUGAAACUUGUUCCCGCGUGCCAGGGUCUAGGAGCAGGGUCUCAUUUAGUCUCCAUGUCCACCUAGAAGGGCGAAAAAGUGGAGACUCGAGUUCCAUAACCACGGGACCAUGAUCCGACCAUGUAGCGGGCUCUAUCUUGGCCGACAUUAUUCGUGAUAACCCCGCUUGUCUGAUAAAAAGGUAAUCGAUGCGAGAGUACCUAUCGUGAAUGGCGGAGUAGUAUGUAAAGUCUUUCACGGAAGGGUUGAGUGUUCUCCAGCAAUCGGCCAGGUCCAUAUCGCCCAGGGUUCUCCGGAUUGCUCGUAAAUGCAGUUGUGAAAUGCUGCUGUGCCCCGUGGAGGAGUCCAGAAUGGGGUCCAGUGGGACAUUGAAGUCGCCUCCGAGGACUAGGAUGCCCUCUGAGAAGUCAUUCAAUUUUGCCAGGGUGCUUUUCAGGAACAUUGCUUGUCGUUUGUUGGUGACAUAAAUGUUGGCAAAGGUGUAUAGUUUGCCCGCUAUUGCCCCCUUCAGAAAGAGGUAUCUGCCUUGUGUGUCGGUAACGGAGAUCAGUAUAGCUACCCCUGCCUUCCUUGCCGUGGGGUGGUUGCAGAAAUGGUUUGUUGGGUACGAUUUAUUUUGAAGUGUAGGCGAUGCGCCGGAUCGAAAGUGCGUUUCCUGUAGCAUCGCCACCGAUGUGUGUCGUUUCUUAAGCUCGCGCAGGAGGUGGGUCCUCCGUUCUGGGAUGUUCAAUCCCCUGCAGUUAAGCGUGAGUACAGAUAGGGGUGCCGGCUGGUAGGCCAUGGUUUUUAGCAUAUGAGGGUUAUAUGUGGUGAGUGAUAAGUUCCCAAACCUCCUCCCACCCUAAUACGGUCCCAACCACCCCGCGAGGGCGCAGGCUCCCGCGGCAGGCCAAUUGGUGCAAGUGGGGGAGAAGUCUGCUUUAGCAGGCAGUGGGGGUGGAGAUAAGGUGGUGUAAGAGGGGGGGGAGAUGGCAGGUAAAGGAGAGUGAGCGGGAGGAGAUGGGAGUGGACAGAAGUAGGGGUGGGUUAGAGGACAGAGGGAAAAAGAGAAGAGAAAAGUAGAGAAAAGUAGAGUAAACUUCCCGUCUGUAAUUGACCGGUAUAGUUUCCCCCACCCGUCCCGUAAUUCCCCGGCAGCGUCCCCCCCCAGGGGUUCUGAGUCCCUACCCCCGGUGUAAAGGUACUUUCUACAUUGUCUGUCCCGUGUUUGGGGAGUCAGUAUUUGCCUUGUAUAGGCAGUGUUCGUCAGUCCCGUGUCCAACCCCUCAUCCCAGUUGUGUGCGUACAUUGGGUCCAAGUGAGGUCGUGUGGUUAAUCCGAAUUCGAGUGGCAGCUGUCCCCCUCGUCCCCCCUACAUGUGGCCUGCCCAUCUCCAAUGUAUGCAGUGUGGGUAGAGGUAGUAUGUACCGCAAUGUGAGUUUGUACGCCUCUCUAGUGUGCUCUCCUCGGACUCCAUGUAGUGCAUCUCUCCCAGUCAGUACCCGGGGCGGCCCUAUGCAUAUAGCGUGAUAAGUGUCCCUUAUACAGUCCAGGUUGACCCAUUGACCCCGCAUCCCAUUACCACAUACCCACCCACUUAAUUUAGAGGGGUGUCAUAGUGAUGUGAGUGGGUGAGGUGUGGACAAGGUGGAUAGCCUUGCUAAGUGUAUCGGGGAAAGCAGCCGUGACCUGAUUGUGUCACGGUCAUACAGACCAGCAUGUAACUUACAAUCAAAGCUUACCAGUGGCAUAAGUAGCCAACACCGUAAUCGGUAAAAAGUCCAGAACAGUGUAGCAAGUCUCUAUAUGGAAGGGCAGGUUCUUCCCGGAUGUCCAGUAAAAAUGCAGUAGGGAAGGUAAAGGAAGGGCAGAGCACCAAUUCGCCAGCUCAGUGCCAUCAAGGAAGCCAUGUGUGACGAAAACGGCUGCAUAACAUCUCAGUUUAGGCAGGUGGGAAAUAAUGGCUGUUAUUGCAAUCAUCCCUCAGAAAGGGUGUUGGACGGUAUGAGCAUGUGGAUCUGGGAGCUAUUGGGGCAGAUUAAACAUAAAAGGUUUAUCCCGUCACGGAGGUAAUGGAGGCAGUUGUGUGUCCACUUCCACGGCCCAUGAGCCACAGCUCGCAGUCGUUCACUACAUGAGAUGGUGUCAGAGGGUAGUCCCAUCGGCUGUUCCCUGUUCCCGAAGAGUGAACUUGUAGGCAGUGCCCCAGUGUCCACAGCUGCUCCCAGAAGUGUGUGAAGUCCACUAAGUAACGAGGGAACAUAUAUCGCUGCAUCGUUGUUUUCCCUAGGUAAUGGUUGGGGUCCCCGUCAAAAAAAAAAAAAAAAAAAUAGAUGUGCGGUGUAGUCUUGUUGCGGAAAUAGUCCAUAUUUUCCCCAAAGUUACCGUCUAUGUAUUCACCAGUCGUUACAGGGUGAAAGCUCAUAGGCAUUGUGUCGCCCAUGCGAUGGCUGAACAUGAAAAGGGAGUCCAGGAGGAGCAAAAGGAGUCAAUGAUGGAGUAAAAUCGGUGUCUGAGUGUGUCUACAAAGUGCAGCUCUAAGGCUUCGCUAUUAUUAUUGGAUGGGGAGAGAAUACUCCAUUUGUCGCUUACAGCAUACACCCUAACCAGGUUUUGUACAAAUGCGUUCUUCGGGUUCAUAGGUGUAGUUUCAUCCCGUGGUCACACCUGGUGGCUUAAGGUUAGGAGGCAGUUGCAGGUGAGGGCAUGCAGUCUAUGGCAGCUUGUACGGUGGGGAGGAGAGGAGAGGAAAGUCGGUCUAGGGGGGAUCAGACUUAGGUGUCAGGGUAGGUUCUUGGGUUUACAUCAACGGGUUAGCUGGGACCAGGGAUACGGGCACAGGUUCCCCAUCUCUGGGGGUUGGUACUCACUCGGCCUGGCCACCCUGAUCCAUGCGCCGCCUGGGGGGCUGCCUCUGAGGGGAUCCGUCCCUGCGCCUCCGUGGAGCUCUUUGAGGUCGCGGACCCUGUCCAACAGGUCCGAGGACCCAGUUCGUGACCGGGAUAGGCGGCAGCUCCAGGGUUUCUAAAAAGCGUGGUAUCUCCGCCGGCCAUCUCGCUGAAAUCCAGGUGUCAUGGUGGCGGGCCAUCAACGCGAAGGGGAAGCCCCAUUUGUAUUCGAUGUGGCGUUCGCGUAAGGCCGUCGUAACUGGCCUUAAAGCUCUUCGGGCUUCAAGCGUGAGGGGAGAUAGAUCAUUAUAGACAGAGACCUGAGAAUUACGAUAGGUCCAGUCUGGGCGUUCACGGGCCUUCCUCAUAAUAGAUUCCUUGACGGGGAAGGAGUGGAGACAGCAGAUGAGAUCCCUCGGCCCAUCUUCAAUGGAUCGUGGGCGUGCAGCUCUGUGUGCCCGUUCGAAUUCAAAACGUUGGGGGGCCUCAGCCUGUAGCAGCAUAUUAAAAAGGCCUGACAGGACCUCCGCCGCACUCUCCCCUCCUUCUGUCUCCUGGACCCCCCUAACCCGGAUGUUGCACCUGCGGCCUCUAUUAUCGAGGUCCUCCAGGUGUCUCCUCAUAUCGAGGAGCAUGUCUCCUUGCCGCGAAAUCACCAGGUCAGUUGAUGAAAUCCUGGAGGAUUGGGUCUCCAUUGCGGUUUCCAGGGCCUCAAUGCGGGUUCCGUGAGCGGUCACUUCCGUCCUGAUGCCCGCCAUCUCCGCACGUAAGGCGUCCUGUAUCGUGGUGGUAAGUGUGAGCAAGUCAGUUUUAGUGGCCAUAGAGGCCGCGAUGGAGCGGAGUUCCUCACCUAUCCGAUCCAGGGCGGAGUGCUCUGUUCCCGAGGAGGAGGCAGGUCAUGGUGGCGUUGAACCCGGGCCUGCCGGCUCUCCUCCGGAACCGGGGGUCGGGUGUAAAAAGGGGUCCAUGAGGCCCUGAGAGGGGUGUUGUUGGGAGCCCCUCGGUGUCUGUGAGGGCUCCGUGCGCCUGUUGCGACCCAUCUGUCGCCUGUAGCGGUGUACAAUCGCCGUUUAGGGGUUAUGUUGGAGCGGAGCACAUGGUCUAAGCAGCCAUCUUGGUCAAGGUCGUGGCCACGCCCCGCUUCUCCUAUUUUUCAUGUCUUUACCCUUGUUACUGAACAGGAGGUGUCUGGACUUCUCCUUUUCUCUCGCACCUUCACUUUCCCUCUCAAUCCCAAUACCUCACACAUUACCAGAUCUCUUUCAAUUGGUGUCAUCUUCGGUGUCAUACCCACAUCCCUGAAAUAUUUUACUGUCAUGCCUGAAAGGGUUAAUCGACUUCUCUUUAACUCCCUCAGUUCUUCAAUCUCCGAUCACCACAUCAGUUGACGGGAGUGCUCUAACAAGUUCUCAAAUGAGUGUAUUUUCAGGGCUAGCAUUUAUACACAGUUUGUCACGCAAGCAGCGAGAUUUAUCGCUUCCUUAUAGUUAAUAGUACAUACUUGUCUGCAGUGGCGUACUAAGGGGGGGGGCGGAGGGGGCGGUCCGCCUGGGUGCAAGCAGGGUGGGGGGUGCCUUGGGAGGGGGCGCCGCAGCGCUCCCUCCUGUCACUCCCUCCCUGUAGCGUGGCCAAGCCCUGUAUCAUGGUCCGCGGGUACAGGGAGCAUCUGUCUCCUGUACCCGGCCGGACUAACAGGAAGUGCACACUCAGUCGGCCUGUUAGUCAGGCCUUUUCAGUCCGGCCGGGUAUAGGAAACAAAAGCUCCCUGUACCCGCGGACCAAUAGAGGGCUCGGCCACGCUACAGCAAAGGUAAGGGGUGGGGGAGAGGGGAGAAUAAGGAGAGAUGGGGGAGAACAAGGAGAGAUGUGGGGAGAAUAAGGAGGAUGUGGGGGAGAAUAAGGAGAGAUGUGGGGAGAAUAAGGAGAGAUGGGGAGAAUAAGGAGAUGGGGAGAAUAAGGAGAGAUGGGGGAGAAUAAUAAGGAGAGACAGGGAGAAUAAGGAGAGAUGGGGAGAAUAAGGAGAGAUGAGGGGAGAAUAACAAGGAGAGAUGGGGAUAAAUUGGGGCGAUGAGGAUGUAGGGAGAACAAGGAGAGAUGGGGGAACAAGGAGAGAUGGUGGAAUAAGGAGAUGGGGAAGGAGAGAGAUGGGGGAAUAGAGAUGGAAUAAGGAGAGAGAUGGGGAAUAAGGAGAGAUGGGGGAAUAAGGAGAGAUGGGGGAAUAAGGAGAGAUGGGGAAUAAGGAUACUGGGAGGGGAAUAAGGAGAGAUGGGGAAUAAGGAGAGAUGUGGUGGAUUAUAAGGAGAGAUGUGGGGAACAAGGAGAGAGAGAUGGGGGAAAAUAAGGAGAGAUUGGGAGGGGGAUAAGAGAUUGGGAGGGAUACAGGAGAGAUUGGGGAUAAGGAGAGAGGGGGAGAUAAGGGAGAGAUUGGGAGGGGGGGAAGGAAAUUGUACAGGGAUAAAGAAAGAUUGGGGGAGAUAAAGAAAGAAAUUGGGAGGGGAAAGGAAAUUGGAGGGGGGAUAAAGAAAGAUUGGGAGAGGGGGAUAAAGAAAGAAAUUGGGAAGGGGGAGACAGAAGGAAAUUGGAGAGUGUGAGAGAAGGAAAUUGGAGGAGGGGGGGAGAGAUUGACAUUCAUCACACACAAUGCACCCAUUGCACACAGAAAAACAUACAAUGCAUUACACACACUGCAUUACACACACAGACACACAUACACAAGCAAUGCAGCCGUUACACACAAUGCAUCCCUUACACACACAGAAACACACAAUGCAUCCAUUACAUACACUCAAUGCACCCCUUACACACACUCAAUGCAUCCCGUACAUACACAGAAACAUACCUUGCAGCCCUUACACAUACAAACACAGAUUCACACAAUGCAUUCCUUACACACAUAUCAGGACAUCCCCUACACACUCCACCCCCUGUGAACAAACUCAUUGGUGGAACAUGAAGGUGGACCCUGGGACCCAGACCUUGAGCUGUGUAAAGGGCCCCCCAAAAAUUGAGCUGCUUCCCGUUCUCCCAGAACAUUGAUUUUUGUGACCACAGUUACAAACCGCCUCCAGAGAUCCUGUUCUACACCAGACCAGUGGAGCCAGACUGCAGCUAGAGCCCAUCAUCAUCCUCAUCUGGUUGUAAGUAGGCAAUAGUAUAUUAUUCGUGGCACUAAUCUCUAAUUUACCUCACAUUAAAUAAACACUAUAGUCCCCAGAACCACUGCAGCUUAAUGUAGUGGUUCUGGUGUCUAUAGCCUUUCCCUGCAGGCCUUUUAAUGUAAACACGGCGGCACUGCAGCACUGGCGUUAGAUAACAUGGCAAAUCAUAUGGGUGGGGCAUUGUGAUGUCACAUGGUGGGGCGGCGGCAAACUUUACAUUUGCCUAGGGUGGCAAAAAUCCUUGCACCAGCCCUGGCUGGAGGGGGCUGUGUGAGCUGUGGCCGCACAGUGCCCCAUGGUAGUUAGGGUGCCGUGCGGCCAGUACAGCUCACACAAGCAAACAGCUGAUAAACUGGCCGCACAGAGGAAAAGUGGGGUGGAGCUAAGCAAAAUCAGAGGCAGAGCCAAACUGGUGCUGGGGGAGGGGCUUUUUGGGGGGGGGCAAGGGGGUGCCAAGCACAGGAUCCACCCCGGGUGCCAAAUGCUCUAGGUACGCCCCUGCUUGUCUGACAUUAAAAAGAUAAGCAUUUGAAUAAAGACGGGACAGGAACAUCCUGAGGUCGAGCGAGGUCAUACAUCCUGUAGAAGGGAGGCCUCUCAGAGUAUGUUACAGAAUACAUCUGCCAAGAUCAGCAUAAUUAUUACAAACAUUAUUUUAAAGCAUAGUUACAUAGCUGAAAAGAGACUUGCGUCCAUCAAGUUCAGCCUUCCUAACAUUUGUUUUUUGCUGUUGAUCCAAAAGAAGGCAAAAAAACCCAGUUUGAAGCACAAUUUUGCAACAAGCUAGGAAAAAAAUUCCUUCUUGACCCCAGAAUGGCAGUCAGAUUUAUCCUUGGAUCAAGCAGUUAUUACCCUACAUUGAAAGAUUAUAUCCUUGAAUAUUUUGUUCUUGCAAGUAUGCAUCUAGUAGCCGUUUGAACAUCUGUAUGGACUCUGAUAAAACCACUUCUUCAGCCAGAGAAUUCCACAUCCUCAUUGUUCUUACAUUAAAAAAACCUUUUUGAAUAUAGGAACCACACCUGCCUUCCUCCAAUCCUCCGGAACACUUCCUGAAAGAAAAGAAUCUUGAAAGACUAAAAACAGAGGUUCACUUAUUUCUACACUUAGUUCCUUAAGUACACGUGGAUGGAUACCGUCAGGCCCUGGAGCUUUGUUUAUAUUAACUUUCUUUAGUUGCUGCAGCACCUUGUCUUGAGUUAACCAAUUACAAUUAUUCUGCAAGUUUUUAGUAGCAAUCAUUUGCACAUCUAUUGCCAUGGGUUCUUCCUUAAUAUAUACGGAGGAGAAAUAGUUAUUUAAAAUUCCUGCCUUUUCCUGGUCUUCAUUAACUAACACCCCUGUUUCAGUUUUUAGUGUACCUACACUUUCAUUUUUUUUUUUUUUAGAAUUUAUGUACUUAAAAAAUGCUUUGGGGUUGGUUUUGCUCUCUUUAGCUAUCAUUUUUUCAUUUUGAAGUUUAGCAAGUCUAAUUGCCUUUUUACACGCAUUAUUUGCUUCCUUAUAUCUUUUAUAAGAUGCAUCCGAUUUGUCCGAUUUAAAUGCUUUAAAUGCCCUUUUCUUAUUUUUAAUCUCUUGUUUUACUUCUCUACUAAGCCACAUUGGUUUUAAUUUGUUUCUUUUAUAUUUAUUUCCCAAUGGUACAUACUGAGAAAUGUACCUUUCUAAUAUUUGUUGGAAGGUGAUCCAUUUAUCCUCAGUGUUCUUUUCACUAAAGAGUUUAUGCCAGUCAAUAUAUUAUAAAGCUUCCCUUAACUUAUUGAAAUUGGCCUUUUUAAAAUUAUAUGUUUUAGUAUACCCCAUGUGCUUUUGUUUUAUUGAGUUUAUUUCAAAGGACACUAUAUUGUGAUCACUAUUUCCCAAGUGCUCACCUACUUGAAUGUUGGUCAAAAGAUCAACGUUGUUUGUUAAAACCAGGUCCAGACAAGCGUCCAUUCUAGUUGGUGCUUGUACAAGUUGUGACAUGAAGGUGUCAUUUAACAAGUUUAAAAACCUAAUUCCCUUUGCUGAGUUACUAGUCCCUCUGUGCCAAUUUAUGUCCGGGUAAUUCAAAUCUCCAAUAAUUAAAGUGUUACCCAGAUUUGCAGCUUUCUCAAUUUGCUCAAACAGCUGUUGUUCCUCAUCAAUAUUAACAUUAGGUGGUUUAUAACAUAUCCCAACCAAUAGUUGGUUUCCCUUCUCUUCCCCAAAGCAGAUAUUUACCCGUAAAGCUUCCACAUUUUCCUCAUCGCAUUCCAUUUGCUUAAGAUUUGGCUUUAAAUCAUGGUUGACAUACAAACAUACCCCGACACCCUUCUUGUUUUUCCUAUCCUUCCUAAAUAACAUGUACCCAUUUAAGUUAACUGCCCAGUCAUGUCUCAUCCCACCAUGUUUCAGUUUUGCCUAUUAUAUCAUAUUGUUUAGUGUAUGCUAAUGCCUCUAGUUCCCCCAUUUUGUUAUUUAGGCUCCUUGCAUUAGUAAGCAUAAAUUUAAUAUUAUGCGUCACUUGUAUAUUUUGUGAAUUAUCAUCAUUACAUAGCUUCUCUGUUCUGAGCUUGCCCCUCCCCCCGUCUCCACCCCCCUUAUACUGUGCUAAAGCCCAUCUCUUUUCUGUCCUAUCUCCAUUUUGUAGAUUGCUAUGACCCUCCCCGCCUACUACUAGUUUAAAAUCUCCUCCAACCUUCUAGCCAUCCUAUCCCCCAGCACUGCAGACCCUCUCCUAUUUAGGUGGAAUCCAUCACCACUAUAAAGGUUGUACCCAAUCGCAAAGUCGGCCCAGUGCUCUAAAAACCCAAAACCUUCCUUCCUGCACCAAGACUUAAGCCACGCAUUGACCUCUCUAAUCUCCCGCUGCCUUUCCACUGUAGUGCGUGGCACAGGUAAUAUCUCAGAAAAUACCACCUUGGAGGUCCUUUUCUUAAGUUUGCUACCUAAUUCCCUGAAAUCAUUCUUUAGUACCUUCCAUCUUCCUCUUACUUUGUCAUUGGUACCAACAUGGACCAUGACCGCAGGGUCAUCCCCAGCCCCUCUCAAUAAUCCAUCCACUCUGUCAGCAACAUGCCGGACCCGAGCACCCGGGGACAGCAAACUGUCUGGUUGAGCCGAUCAGAGCGGCAGAUUGCCCUAUCUGCUCUCCUAAUGAUAGAGUCCCCUACCAAAGCAUAUAAUGUAAAAAGAGUUAACUAUUUGAUAUCCUUACAAUGCCUAUCCUAAAAUAGCUAUCUCUGGACCCAGCUGCUCGGUCUAACUACCGACCUAAAUUCAUUUUCCAUCAAACUCAAAGUUUCUUGAAUGAUUAGUUUGUUCCGAUGUGACCCACUUUCUCAUCUAUAACUAUCUCCUUGAUCUUCUUUAGUCUGGCUGCCUCGUCCUACGUUCUAAAGAAACUGAUCUAAAUAAAGUAACUAAUGAUCUUAACACGGAUAAAUCUGAAGAUCGCUGCUCUGCUCUAAUUGCACUUAACUGUUAAUCACACUUUUGUUACCUAAACAUUUUGCAUUCUUGUCUUCAUGAUACGGUCCUUAUCUAGUUAUUCUUUUCUGCUGUUUCCUCUUGACAACAGCCACUUAUACGCUGUUGGUACCCAGAUCACUUCUCCUCUUCCAAUCUCUCUUCUGCCAUUCUAUAACGUGUCACCAAAUGCCUCUCUGCCAUCUCCAGUUGGAUGUUAUCCCACUUUCUAAAACUCAAUCUUUCCAAAACUGAGUUUCAUAUUACUGCAAGAUGCUAGUAAGGAGCUUAUUCACCCUUUUAUUAUUCCCAGCAUUGAUUACUGUAUCUCUUUUGUUAAGGUUCUCUUUCUUGUUCCUCCUCUCACGCCCCUCCACUUUGCCAGUGACCUUCUAGAGUCUUUUCUUUGGACCUGUACUCCUGUAGUUUUUAGGAUUUCUCCAUGGCGGCUCCAUUCCAUGAAACAACCAUUUUACCCACCUGAAUUUUUGAGAAUACUCAAUCUUUUAAGAAUCCCUUAAAACGUAUCUCUCCUGCCAAUCCUAUAUCCUUCCUAGGUAAUUCUCAUUCCUUAAAGCUCUUGGCCCCAUCUCUAACUCUAAAGUCCACUUCACUCUUAUCUUCCAUCUUCAUUGCUUUCCCUCACACUCGCCUGUUGAUGUAAUUCCCCACAUUGUAUUUGUACCUUACCAUCUCUAGACUGGAAGUUCAUUAACCUCAUAUAAUUAUUUAGCUCUAUAACCGUUUUCAGAUACAUUAGCUUUAGUGCUCUUUUCUAAGUACUAAAAUAGUGAGGAUAACCUCCCCCAGGGACCUAAUCAAAAUUAAAAGGAUUAGUUCCAGUGUAAAUAAUAUUUAAUAAAAAUGAAAUUGAUAGAAUGCUUAUCGGCGGCUGCUUAUUUUGCAGACAGCAGCAGAUGUUAAUUUAUGUAGGCAAUUUCCUGCUUGAAUACUUCUUAACAAAAAUAAAUAAAGGCUUCUGUUUCCACAUUUACCAACAAAACCAAUAUGUACGCUACUUAUUUUUACUGCGUGCUGUGUACUUAGGGCUCUAUUGAAUUAAUCUUCACUUGUACAUGGAUCUGAGAUUGCCAGAAGAAAAGGAUUGCUCAGAGAUAAACAGGACAAUGAAAAGACCUACAUUUGUCGUUUUUGUUAUAAACAACAUGAAUCAGAAGUGUGAAUAGCACAGCCCUUUCUGCUUCUCGUAUGACUGCUGACAAAUACACAGAAGUCAAUAAAGGAUCAUAGACAUGGGUCUGUUUAUGGACCAGGAUAGUGAAUGGACAGAAUAAGUCAUUUAGGACAAUUGGCGAGCACGCUUAUCUUAAAUAUUUAUCUACAGAUAGGGAGCUGUUUGCAUAAACAUGACAUUUACUUGCUGUAAUUGAUUCAAUGGUCUAUUGUUGUUCAAACUGGUUUUGACACGCACAUAGGAACUACUUACAAAAUUAGUGUUUGAACGGAUAGUCAUCUGAAAAAAAGACUAUUCAGAUUACUAGUUCCUGUGUUUUACAAAAUAAUCUAAUAUAGAAUUGCUGAAACACGAGUUUUGUUUCUCGUUUUUUUUUGUGUCUUUAGAUUUGUUUUAUCAGGUGACUUAGAGCUUAGUAUUCUUAGUAAUCAUGUACUCUCUGCUCCCAAACACCACUAUGCAACACUAAUUAAAUGGGAAAGGGGUGAAGAAAGGGAAGUAUGGGUUUAUAGCACCUUUUACGUUUGCUUGUAAUAUCAGUGCCACCGACUCCAGUGAGGGACUUAUUGCAUAGACAUUUCCAGGAAAAACAUUUUGAAGUGUCAUACCUGACUAGCUAGACCUGAACCACAAAUCCAGUCAUAUUUUUAUAUAUAACCUCUUUGAAUAGAAGUUAAACUGCAGGCUACGGGGACCCACGCAACUCGAAGUAUCCGUAGCAAAGGCACUGCAAAGAAUAUGUUGACUUCUUGCAAAGGAUGGAGGUCAGGUUACCAGUUUCCAGACAGGAUCCUUAAUCACUGACCACGUAUUUAAAGGUUUAUUCAUACACAUGGGUAAAGCUCUCGUCCAAAAUCAGGUCCCGAUCCUUCCAAAAUGGCUCUUGCUAAAAUAAUGUAAAAUAAUGGUAUCCUCUAACUUGCCACUGAUUCUGAUUUAAUUCUCAAAAUCUGUUUUAUGUACUCCAUAAUCUACUUUAGUGGCCGGGCACUGUAACCACUUCAUCUUAUUGAAGUGACUGUAGUGUCUGGCAUCCCAUGGGGCCAUCAUUCUGUUUAGUGUUAUACCUUUUUUUUUUUUUUUAAUUCUUUAUUUUAUUUGCAUAGCUUGAACAAUCAUGCUUGUACCGCCACAAUAGCAGGUGCAAGCAGGUUUGAAAACAUACAUUAACAUAGGUAUGGAAUUGAAAUACAUAGCACAGUUUUUUGUUUUUUUUUAUAUUCAAGAUAGGAGACAUGUUAAAGGUUAAACCAUGGAUAACACACACUCUUUUGCAGGCUAGUCUCGCUUAGCAGUUAGGUAACUUAUAUUGAAUCUGCGCUUCGCUGCCUGAUAGCAGGCUUGAGAGAUGGAACAAAGGCAAAAACUUAAAGCAUAGUUAUAUAAUACUGUGACGUGGGAUUAAACUGCGCACAUUUUUAAAUCGUUAGAGUAAUGAUGAGUAAGUCUGGUUAGUAAAUGCGAGUAACAAUAGCAAGAUGUGUGUUUACGAAAAAUAAAUUGACAUGACUGUCGUAGAUUAUUAACCUGCUGAAUUGUUAAACAUUAUGAUAAGCAAAAUGAACUUUCUUUCAAAAGACACGAGUAGAAGAGGUGCAAUAAAACGUUAUGCCUAGCUAGAAACAUAGCUGUCGUGAUCAUGCUUAAUAAACAGUUGUAGGUUAGAAAGGUACGUACGUUAAACUAACUUAUGUAUCAGAAUAGUGAGGCUAUACAUAGAAAAGCUUAGCUUAUAGUCGCUAUCGAUAUCCCCCCUGCGGUCCCCAGCAUAAACUAAAGGGCUAUUGAAUUGCAUGCAUACAGGUAUAAGAGUUCAACCUCGGGUGUUAAGAGGUGAGGAGUAUUGGGCACUGUGCCUGACAUUGAGUCCCAGUCUUGUAUGGGUCAGCCGAUGCCUUGUUGGGGCUGGGUGUGCUCCCCCUGCGCCAGUAGUUGCAGCGAUGAUGCGUGCCGCAUUCCCUGUGAUCCAGCAGUGUAGGAGAAGAGAGUCUCAGUGUGGGCAGAGGACCUAGUCGGUAUGUAUAAUGUGGCUCCAGUUGUGGUUCCCACAUGCCGGUGUAUUCGUUGGCUGUAGCUGUGGCUGUAGAUUUGUGCUGCUGCUGCCGCCAUUUUAGGCCUCUUGGUCUGCCACUUGCAUGUGUGGAUGAGUUGGCCAUUGCUCCUCUUAGGCUGGGUCAUUGUCGGGGAGCAAGGCGGUGUUCUGCGCUGUGGUUUGGGGGUCCCCUUAAGAUGCUUUGCCUGUGCCUGGUCGCGUUCACUCUUGGUGUGACUCUGUUCACCCGACAUCGGGUUGGUCGUUUUCAGGCGCCUGUGGGGCCCAACAAGGGAACUUACGGCGUGUGCCGGCGUGUGCUCUUGGGCCUCUCGUAGUGGGCCGUGUGGCGUAGCUUCAGGCUGGGUCCCCGGUUCCGGGGGCCACGCAAGCUGUUCCAGCCUCUCCCAGAAGGCGUAAAAAAUGCAGGUGAGUCUGAGCUCCGUUUCUGUCUCGGCCUUGCAGAGGGUUGAGGCGUGUGUGUCGUUCGCCAUUUUGUCGGCCACACCAGCGACCUCCAGUCCGCCGAUCUGUUCAACUGCUUAUCACCUGCUGAGGUGACCGUGAGGGGGUGGACCGGGAUAACCCCCACCGGUCCAGGGGGGGAGAACAAGGGCCUGGAGUCCUACAUCUGGCUGGUUCAGGCAGCAGGGAAGCGGCCGUCCUCCCUGUGCCCGCCAUGCUGGUAGGCCUCGCUGUGAGUUUGGGUACGCCUGUAUAACAUCGUCGCUUGAGUGGUGUCUGUGUGUGCGCCCCGGUAUCACCCGUCACUUGGUGGCCAUUAAACUGCAAUUUAGUGCCUUUCAAGCGUCUAGAAUCCAUUGUUUUAGCCCCAAGCAGCGGGAGCUGGUGAGGCAUGCUUCCUCUCUGCUCAGCGGUCAGGCCCCACCCCCAGUGUUAUACCUUUUUUGAGCAGCAAUGGGUGUCAUUGAUUGGCUGAGAGUCAGCUGAUUGCUUUAAGCCAAUCACAGCCUCCCACUGCGAGUAUGAAUUGAUAUGUAUAAGGAAGGGUGUAAUCUCUGCCUUAUCCUCCAGUGGGUCCAGGAACCCUCAUUCAGUGUUUAACUGUCUAAAAAUGGUUUAACACAGAAUGGUAAAGCAGUGCCAGUGGACUGCAGACACUAUAGUAUAGUACCUACCGUAACCCUUUAAACACCCAGCCUUCCACAGCAUUGCUGCUCAAUACUACACGAAUACAUUGAGUUUUAGCUAGUAUACUGAGAUACUGUUAUGGGCAAAUGGAAAUAUUGUAUUCUUCAAACUGUGUACUUUGUCUUUAAGAGAUAUUGCAAACUGACAAGGUACUAGAAAUGGAACAUAUUGUUUUUCAUAUAUGUUUCUUUAAGCAAUAACCUCUUACUUACCUUCAGUGCAUAAUAUGUUUACGCCAUUUUGUCCCAAACAAAAUACAAUAACAAUAAUGCAUAAACAAGCUUCAAGGCUAUGCUACGACUCUUUCAGUACAUAAUAUACUGCGGUAACCCUAAAUAGAGAAAGAUGUUCAGACUUUAAGAUGCCAUCUUGACCUAAGUCAGGAAAUUUUCCAUGACGUGUACACAGGGGCGUAUUAGCCGCGAGGCAAACAAGGCAUUUGCCUUGGGCGGCAUUUUUCAGGGGGCGGCAAAAAACGCCGCCCCCCCAAAUGCCCAGGGCAAAUGCCUAGUUAGCCUUGCGGCUAACUGACCUGCUGGGCGGGCGGGCGGGCGGCUGGCGAGGGAGCUCUUCCUCUGAGCUGUCUGCUCAGCUCCCUUGCGCGCCGCAGAGUGAGGCUGGGAGCCGGAAUAUGACGUGAGCUGAGCAGAGUGCUCAGAGGAAGAGCUCCCUCGCCAGCCGCCCGCCCGCCAGCGCCCCCCGACCGCCCAGCAGCCAGCCCAUCAGCCACUGGACCACCAGGGAGAAAGAGGAAUCCCCCCCCAGCAUUCCCAAAGGUAAGGAGACUGGGGGGGUUAAAUAAAAAAAGAAAAUAUGUUAAUGUGAGUGAGUGUGUGUAUAUGUCUGUUACUGUGUGUCUGUUAGUGUGUGUCUGUUACUGUGUGUGUCUGUCUGUUACUGUGUGUGUCUGUUAUUGUGUGUCUGUUAGUGUGUGUGUGUGUCUGUUACUGUGUGUGUGUCAGUGUGUGUGUGUGUGUGUGUCUGUUAGUGUGUAUAUGUCUGUUACUGUGUGUGUCUGUUAGUGUGUGUGUCUGUCUGUUACUGUGUGUGUCUGUUAGUGUAUGUGUAUGUUACUGUGUGUGUCUGUUAGUGUGUGUGUGUGUGUCUGUUAGUGUGUAUAUGUCUGUUACUGUGUGUGUCUGUUAGUGUGUGUGUGUGUCUGUUAGUGUGUUUGUCUGUUACUGUGUGUGUCUGUUAGUGUGUGUGUGUCUGUCUGUUACUGUGUGUGUCUGAGUGUGUGUCUUGUCUGUUGGUGUGUGUGUGUGUGUGUAGUGUGUGUGUGUGUGUCUGUUAGUGUGUGUGUCUGUUAGUGUGUAUAUGUCUGUUAGUGUGUGUGUCUGUUAGUGUGUGUGUCUGUUACUGUGUGUGUCUGUCUGUCUGUUACUGUGUGUCUGUUACUGUGUGUGUCUGUCUGUCUGUUACUGUGUGUCUGUUACUGUGUCUGUUACUGUGUGUCUGUUAGUGUGUGUGUCUGUUAGUGUGUGUGUGUGUGUCUGUUACUGUGUGUGUCUGUUAGUGUGUGUGUCUGUUAGUGUGUGUGUGUGUGUGUGUGUAUGUUACUGUGUGUGUCUGUUAGUGUGUGUGUGUCUGUUAGUGUGUGUGUGUGUCUAUUAGUGUGUAUAUGUCUGUUAGUGUGUAUAUGUCUGUUAGUGUGUGUGUCUGUUAGUGUGUGUGUCUGUUACUGUGUGUGUCUGUGUGUCUGUUACUGUGUGUCUGUUACUGUGUGUCUGUUACUGUGUGUCUGUUAGUGUGUGUCUGUUACUGUGUGUGUGUGUGUGUCAGUGCGUGUGUGUGUCUGUUAGUGUGUGUGUGUCUGUUAGUGUGUGUGUGUCUGUUACUGUGUGUGUCAGUGUGUGUGUGUCUGUUAGUGUAUGCGUGUGUGUUAGUGUGUGUGUGUCUGUUAGUGAGUGAGUGUUUCUGUUAGCUAGUGUAUGCGUAUCUGUCAGUGAAUGUGGGUGUGUGUGUAUUUAGAAGGCGGGGCAGGGGGAAGCGUUGGGUGGGGGUGGCACAGGGGGAGGGGGCGCCUGAGUUUUGUCCUGCCUAGGGCAGCACAAAACCAGGAUACACCACUGCGUGUACACCCUUUUGCCAAGUUAAGGGGGGUCCCUAGAAUAAACAAGUGUUACUUUUUUAUAUAUGAACUACGGUAACCCUAAAAUGAAGACACCUAAAGUAUAAAUAUGUGUACCUUUUAAAUGUUAAGGGAUAGAGGAGAGACUUGGAGACAGACGCUGCUCCAUCUUAAAAUGACAGAGAUGAUGACAUGUUCAGGAGGGUAUGUUAAUAUAUUAAUGAUAUUUGCAAGCAUUUAGUUUAAUCUUAGAAACUCUGCUAUAAAUUAUUGUAACAGAUUUUAUAUGUCUAUAUUUAUAUUUUUAUAUAAAAAAUAUCUAAAAGACAAAACUGUAUUGCUUCCAAGACAAUCCUUAUUUUAUAUUGUAUUUCAAAUUAUUUAUAUAUGUUAAAUAGAGGAUCUCUUACUAAAUACAGUUGCAAGAAAAGGAUGUGAACCCUUUGGAAUGAUCUGGAUUUCUGCACAAAUUGGUCAUAAAAUGUGAUCUGAUCAUCAUCUAAGUCACAACAAUAGACAAUCACAGUCUGCUUAAACUAAUAACACACAAAGAAUGAAAUGUUGCCAUGUUUUUAUUGAACCCACCAUGUAAACAUUCACAGUGCAGGUGGAAAAAGUAUGUGAACCCUUAGACUAAUGACAUCUCCAAGAGCUAAUUGGAGUGAGAUGUCAGCCAACUGGAGUCCAAUCAAUGAGAUGAGAUUGGAGGUGUUGGUUACAGCUGCCCUGCCCUAUAAAAAACACACACCAGUUCUGGGUUUGCUUUUCACAAGAAGUAUUGCCUGAUGUGAAUGAUUCCUCGCACAUAAGAGCUCUCAGAAGACCCACGAUUAAGAAUUGUUGACUUGCAUAAAGCUGGAAAGGGUUAUAAAAGUAUCUCCAAAAGCCUUGCUGUUCAUCAGUCCACGGUAAGACCAAUUGUCUAUAAAUGGAGAAAGUUCAGCACUGCUGCUACUCUCCCUAGGAGUGGCCGUCCUGUAAAGAUGACUGCAAGAGCACAGCGCAGACUGCUCAAUGAGGUGAAGAAGAAUCCUAGAGUGUCAGCUAAAGACUUACAAAAGUCACUGGCAAAUGCUAACAUCCUUGUUAGCGAAUCUACAAUACAUAAAACACUAAACAAGAAUGGAAUUCAUGGGAGGAUACCACAGAGGAAGCCACUACUGUCCAAACAAAACAUUGCUGCACGUUUACAGUUUGCACAAGAGCACCUGGAUGUUCCACAGUAGUACUGGCAAAAUAUUCUGUGGACAGAUGAAACCAAAGUUGAGUUGUUUGGAAGAAACACACAACACUAUGUGUGGCAAAAAAAAGGCACAGCACACCAACAUCAAAACCUCCUCCCAACUGUGAAGUAUGGUGGUGGUGGCAUCAUGGUUUGGGGCUGCUUUGCUGCAUCAGGGCCUGGAUGGAUUGCUAUCAUCGAAGGAAAAAUUAAUUCCCAAGUUUAUCAAGACAUUUUGCAGGAGAACUUAAGGCCAUCUGUUUACCAGCUGAAGCUCAACAGAAGAUGGGUGUUGCAAUAGGACAAUGACCCAAAGCAUAGAAGUAAAUCAACAACAGAAUGGCUUAAACAGAAGAAAAUUUGCCUUCUGAAGUGGCCCAGUCAGAGUCCUGACCUCAACCCGAUUGAGAUGCUGUGGCAUGACCUCAAGAAAGCGAUUCACACCAGACAUCCCAAGAAUAUUGCUGAACUGAAACAGUUCUGUAAAGAGGAAUGGUCAAGAAUUACUCCUGACCAUUGUGCACGUCUGAUCUGCAACUACAGGAAACAUUUGGUUGAAGUUAUUGCUGCCAAAGGAGGUUCAACCAGUUAUUAAAUCCAGGGGUUGUCCAGACUGGUGUGUGUUUUUUAUAGGGCAGGGCAGCUGUAACCAACACCUCCAAUCUCAUCUCAUUGAGUGGACUCCAGUUGGCUGACAUCUCACUCCAAUUAGCUCUUGGAGAUGUCAUUAGUCUAGGGGUUCACGUACUUUUUCCACCUGCACUGUGAAUGUUUACAUGGUGGGUUCAAUAAAACAUGGCAACAUUUCAUUCUUUGUGUGUUAUUAGUUUAAGCAGACUCUGAUUGUCUAUUGCUGUGACUUAGAUGAUGAUCAGAUCACAUUUUAUGACCAAUUUGUGCAGAAAUCCAUAUCAUUCCAAAGGGUUCACAUACUUUUUCUUGCAACUGUAUAUAAAAAAAAUUGCUAAGAUAUCUGUAUGGUUAUCCCUGCUAAGUUCAAUGCUUUAAGAUGUUAUAGUGGUAGUAGAUAAGGGUACCAGCUGCGGUUACAAUAUGAUAAAGCAUUGCAAACAUAUUUAUUUUAUGCAAACAAAAUAUGUCAAAUACCCAACUAUCACCAGGAGUUUUUAAAGUGGUGACUUAGUAAUUAGAAUCAUAAAAUAAUAGUCCUUACUGAUUGAUCUCUAUAUAGCCAGAUGUCUUAGAAUUCAUUCAGUCAGUCAAAGUUAAAAUUAAAGUCUGUUUUCUGUAAUGCUUUAGAGCGCACACAAAGCAAACAAGCUGCAUACCGUGCAGAGACGCACCUACCUAGCCUCUGUUAACGGACAGUGUCACCCACAAUAGCUGGAAUAAUGCUUUGAGGCUGACUGUCUGCACGUACAUCUGUGAUUUCACUACAGAUGCUGACAGUUAAUGUGCUCGAUCUAGAUAAUCAUCUGUUCUAUGCACAAGAGCGGGCUGUUUAUAAUCUACCACCCAUUGUAAGCAGUUUAUGCCUAUACAGCCUGUGGCUGCUUACUGUUGUGAAGUAAAACAAAAAGACCCUCCACUCCAAUUAAGUGCCCCAUUGUGAGGUACCUAUUCAAAUAAUUAACGGGGGACAUAGUGUUAAACUAAACAGGGGACCUAUUGUCCCCCUCUGGCCCCCCACCUGAAGCGGUGGGUGGGGAACCUACUGUCUCUCCCCCGGUGCCAACCCAUGAGCAGCAGAUAGGGGCCUCUAUUGUCCCCCCUGUCCCUCACCCAUUGUCGAUGGGUGGGGGCUAAAUGUAAACAUAUUGCAACCCCCAGGUGUCUAAGGGUCCUUAAGCCCCUAAACACACACCCCAGUGACUAAGGGUCCCCAAGCCUGUAGUCACACCUCCCAGUGACUAAGGAUUCCAAAGCCCCUAGUCAUCCCACCCCCAAAUAAAAUAAAACCCUACCUACCCUUCUCAUUCUAAAAAUAGUGAGGGGGAAGCAAUAAACUAAAUACCUGUAAAUAAAAAAAAAGAUAUUUGCCAUUAGAUGUGUUCUUUUUUCUAAAACCUUUUUAGUAGUGCCCAAUUUUAAAUAUAAAAAUGCCCCUCUACAAAAAACAAAAAAUGGUUUAGAGUAACCCUUUAAUUAUUAAACUUAACUUUUUUUAUUUUACCACCUGUGCCUUAUACUGAGAAGAAGUGUGGCAAAAGUAGUAAUACUUGCUGUACUGUACAGGAGCUAGUGUCUUACUCUUGCUAUUUUUGUUCAUAUAUCAAUUUCUUUCUUCUCCAAGCAGUUUUCCCUAAAAACCCACCAGCUCUUCUAGGAUUUGAUUAUGGGCAUCUUUGUCAGUUCAGUAGCUGUGAAAUCGGCUGUAGUGUUUCAGACUUGAUGUAUCUUCCUAAAUCCCACUACACAGAGCCUGUUAUUGCAUCAAUAAUAGCAUAAAUAUUUUGGACUAAAAAUGAACAAGUUGACAAUAUUCAUUAUUAGGGAUGGACUUUUUUUCACAGCGCGUGCCGGACCUAUUUUUUUUAACUGAGGUGUGUGUGACAGAAUGCUGGCACUCCGACUGAGUACCUCGCUGAGGACUCCAAGCCCUCCAACCGACACCAUCAGCACUGCAGACCCCACUUCCAGCGAUGCAGCUGCACCGGGGUCUCGCCGUCUCCACCCACCCUGGACCCAAGACCAGGGUCCAGCUUCCAGUGGGUAAGCUCUCUUUCCACAGAGAGCAGAAACAGGGACAAGCUCUUAGCAGAGCUUAGUGAUCAUACCCUUGAGUGUAGUUCUCCAAUCCCCCAAACAUGAGCCAAUACUUCAAGAAAGGUACAAGAUGAUCUGAUUUUAAUGACCACACACUGGCUUUUCUGCAAGUCCCCAUGCAAGGGGAAAUCCCACAGGAUUGGGACACAGUACAACCAAUCGUUUACAGGAAAACCAUAAAACACACCCAGCACCAACAUACAAUCCCUCCCCUCUGCCUGUGAUAUAAUUACUGAACACAAUGGGUUAAUGUAAUUUAUCACAGGCAGGAAAAAUACACUUUUUACACAUAUACUGUAACUUUAAAAAUAUGCAUCAUAUUCACAUAAAACAUACAUAUUCAGAAUUAGCAUACUUUAAAUAUAAACAUAACCAAAAAUCAUGCAAAUCCUUCCAUUAGUUCAAAAGUUAGUUGGAAGUCCUUUGUAACCAAUGAAGCAUGGCUUUUCUGCCCAAAACUAGUUCCACAGUCUUCUAUCCUGGAGAUAAUUGGGAAGUAAUCCAAUUAUCUCCAAGGACAGAGGCAAAACUCCAUUGAACACAUGGCAGCAAAAAGACAUAAAAUUACACAAUGUUACAAUUACUACAUAAAACAUAUACAUGCAACAUAUCCCCAGAUAGCUUAGAUCUGAGCGCACAUUAUUACGAAAUGGCGCUCAGAUCACAUACAUACAGUUCAAUCACCAUGGAGCCAAAGUCUUUUCCAUAGUCUUUUGUUACACGAAUAGGCUCCAUGGCAUAGCUAUCUGGGGUAGCACUACUACCAUACUGAAAGCCCAGAACGCCACAGCAGAAAUACACAAAUAAACCUUUCUGCAGGGGAAAAUACAGCUAUCAGCACAUGGGCCAUAGUCGGAAGGCAGGAGGCUAGCCAGUAGUCCCCUCCAGGCACAAGUGGUGAAGGGAACUUCGUCACAGCUACAAACUGUUGAGAAUAAUCAUAUAAUGAAAUAAUCUAAGCAGAAUGUAAAAAAACUCUAAAAUUAUACAAUAAGAACCACUUAUAAACACAUAAAGUGAUAGAAUAAUAAAAUACAAAAAAUCAGUGAUUGCAAUAUAAAUAUGUUCACUAGGUGGCAGCCUUGUAUCAAAAAAAUAUUUGGUAUAGAGGGAAUCUUCCACUAAACAACGAAUAAUCUUAAUAUAUUAAAAAUGGGAAAAAACGUUAAGAUUUGGAUGUAUUAGUACAGUGACUGCAAAUAUAAAAAUAUAAAAGUAGAUUGUCCAAACAACUUAGUCCAAUAAAAUCCAAAACGAUGGAAAAGUAAAAUAUUGUCCAAUAGAGUCUUUAACAGACAAAGUUCUUAUAGUGCAAAAGAUACCAAUAUCACAUCCCACACAGUGUGCUUCUGCUCAAUAGAAAUAACAGUAGCAGUAAAGUGUCAAGUUGUGGAUAUAAUGUAACCAGUAUUGGUAUAUAUCAGUAAAAUAUCGGAUAGCAGCAGAAAAUAACAGUUACUCAUAUACCUCCAUUACAGGUAUAUAGUAAUAGGAUCUCUAAAUGAUCGGCAAAUAAUAGUAAAAAGCUCGUAAUGCCUUUUUAAAAAACUUCACAUUUAUUGAGAAUAAAAUUAAAAUUAGAAAAUACACUCACAAAAAUGAAGUAUAGUAUGCCAGCAAAUGAGUCUUAUCGGGUAAGCAAAAUCGGGUGAUGGUCAGCAAACUGUGGAAGAACCUUCUCCGGCCGGUGAGAAGAUCUUGCUGUGCUGGGAGAGGUGAGACACCUCUCGCGUGCGUUCUACUUAGUGCACCCGAUCUGCGUUCCACGGUUGCUCGGUAGCUGGAUCGAUGUACGGCAAUUGCCGAAAAUGCCUUAUGCGUUUCGUGACAAUUCAGUCACUUCUUCAGAGAAGAUUCCCUCUAUACCAAAGAUUUUUUUUGAUACAAGGCUGCCACCUAGUGAACAUAUUUAUAUCGCAAUCACUGAUUUUUUGUAUUCCAAGAUUUUUGUAUUUUAUUAUUCUAUCACUUUAUGUGUUUAUAAGUGGUUCUUAUUGUAUAAUUUAAGAGUUUUUUUACGUUCUGCUUAGAUCAUUUUAUUAUAUGAUUAUUCUCAACAGUUUGUAGCAUCUGGUAAGAGAUCUCCUAGUACGUGUAGGCUUUUCCACCUACUAUUAUUCAAAUAGGAACCUGGUAACUGCCUUUGGGGUCAAAGGCCGGUUACAACCAAUCAGAUCCACAGGCGGGGUAUUUAGGCCCAGUUCUCCUCUUGCUUAGUGCCCUGUCGUUGUUUCCCUUGUGGUUGUCCGAGAGCGUGUUAUUGAUUCUGGUUAUUCUGGUUAUUCUGGUAUUCUGACUUUGGCAUUGAUUUUGACUUCCCUGUUUUCUGUCAUCCCUGACCCCUGGCUUUUCCUUAUCGUUGUGUCUCUUUCUGUAUCCCUUGACCUCGGCUAUUCCUGACUAUUCUUUGGUACGUUAGUCCGGCCAUUCUAAGGUCCGGUAUACGUUACCUAUCAGUCCUCUAUGUUACACAAUUCCACGUGCUGGAUCAUACUGUAAUCCUGAAAGCAGGAUAGUGAAGGUAGGAUGGAGAUUGGGGCAGGAUAGUAAAGAGUGAGAAGGAUAGGCGUGGGGAUUGGGGCAGGAGAAAGUGAUGGGAUAUACAGGGAUUGGGGAUUAGAGUGAGAGGGUAUGGGGGCUGAAGCAGGAGUGUAAGAAGAGGUAUGUGAAUAGGGGCAAGAGAAUGACGGGUUGGGACAGGAGAGCGAAGGGGAUAGGGGUUGGAGCAGGAGAGCGAAGGGGAUAGGGGUUGGGGCAGGAGAGUGAGAGGCAUGGGGAUAGGGGCAGGAGAGUGAGAGAGGGGGUAGACACUAUUUUGGGUCGAAACGUUGCAAUGUUCCCUUUGUUCUAAUAAAUGUGCCUGACGCUAUUGGAGUGCCCUGGACAUUUUCUCUACUAUCUACAUUUCCUAUUCGUGGGAUUGUGCUGGCCCAUGGUCUGGUUUAGCAUCCUUAGCUUUUGUGAAUUGAGUGUGGUUCCUACUUGCUAUAUUGAGUUUGAGCUCAGCUAGGGAACACAUUGCAUUAGAGGAAAAGAAACAAAAACAGAUUACGCAAGAUCAGUUUUCCAUUCUUAAAUUUUACCAAAAUAUUAAAAGGGGAUGAGUACCUACUGGUUCAACUUGUUUCAUGGUGGUUGCCGCAUGCAUGUAGUAUUUUGGACUACUUUUAGAACAGAACAUUUAUACAGUUUAUCCAUUAUGUUUUUCUUCCAGGCUUUUUGAGAAAUCAAGGAGAAAGACUGAGGCACUUGGCCCCACAAUAGAGAUUAAUAUAGUGGUAUGGAUUUCUAGAUAGUCAUUUCAACUCUGCCUCCUGAUUUUCUCUUCAGGUUUCCAGCAUGGUUUGUGGCUAGUAAACAGUUUGUCCUCCCAAGAGCUUCCAGGACUCCUCUACAUUUCUUCCUCAUCAACUGCAAUGGAAAAAGAGCGGAGUAUUGAUGUCUGUCCUCCCACACCUCCUCGCUACAACCUGUU